CCAUUCUCUACAUCUUCAUCUUUAUUCCUGUCCUGCCCCUAGGUUCUUCAGAACCUUUUUUUUUCUUUUUUUUAGAUUCCAUAUAUAUGUGUUAGCAUACGGUAUUUGUUUUUCUCUUUCUGACUUAGAGUCUGCAGACUCUAGGUCCAUCCACCUCACUACAAAUAACUCAAUUUCGUUUCUUUUUAUGGCUGAGUAAUAUUCCACUGUAUAUAUGUGCCACAUCUUCUUUAUCCAUUCAUCUGUCGAUGGACACUUAGGUUGCUUCCAUGUCCUGGCUAUUGUAGAUAGUGCUGCAGUGAACAUUGUGUUACAAGCCCCUUUUUGUUUUUGUUUUGUUUGUUUUUUUAAUAAAUUUUUAAAUUUUAUUUUUAUUUUUGGCUGCGUUGGCCCUUCAUUGCUGCAUGCAGGCUUUCUCUGGUUGGGCUCAGUAGUUGUGGCUUGCGGGCUUAGUUGCUCCACGGCACAUGGGAUCUUCCAGGACCAAGGCUCAAACCUGUGUCCUCUGCAUUAGCAGGUGGAUUUUUAACCACUGCGCCACCAGGGAAGCCCCAUCUUUUUGAAUUACGGUUUUCUCAGCGUAUAUGCCCAGUAGUGGGAUUGCUGGGUCAUACGGUAGUUCUGUUUUUAGUUCUUUAAGGAACCUCCAUAUUGUUCUCCAUCGUGGCUGUAUCAAUUUACAUUCCCACCAUCACAGCUGUUUGUCUUAAUACCAAAUAAAAUCAUGGCUGUGUGUGGUCUUUGGAAGGACUGUAUAAGUAACACCAUGUCAUGUCAGAUGCUGAAAGUGUAUUAUUUGCCUUUCUCCCUUUACCUUUGCUGCCUAGAACUGUGCUGUGCUGAGAUUGGUAUCCAUGCUUUUAUCAGGUUUCCUGUUGCCUUUAAGGCCUUAUCCUGGUUGGAGUGGGUGUGAGCUUCUUGUUUCUUUGUGUAUCUCAUUACCCACAUCAUUAUCUUCGUUCUUUUACCAGCAGUGCUGGUGGCUGGACUUGGAAACAUAAGGAAGCCUAGGCUGUGUUUCUGGUGCACUCAGCUCUAGGGAAACAUUGCUUAUUGCUUCAGACCAUUACUGAAAGCAAGAUGAGAGAAUGUGGGCAAUUAUAGCUCAUCCUUGUCCUGCCUGACAUCAUUCCUGGGCCAGUGGAUACAAAGUAGGUUGCAAACAUGAAGGUUCUUUGGGGUAGAGGGAAGAAAUUUAAAAAAUUUUUAAAUGUAUUUUAAAUAAAUACAGUUACUUAUUAUCAUCCUUAAAAUUUUUUUUUUGCUUUCAGUUGUACAUAUAUUAGUCUAGCAGCACAUAUUUUUGUUUUAUGUGUGUGUAUUACAUAUAUAAGGAGGGUUUGUUCAGAUUUUUUCCUGGUGAGGGUGCACAAUCAAUGGUUUGGCAACCCCUGAUCUGUGGGAAAUGGUCAGCACAAGUGACCUAUGCAGGUUUUAGGAAAUGUGGAUGAUGGUCUCACUUAGCCCUCGGGGCUCCCUGUUUUCCCUAAUAGCAGGGUCCCUGCCCGCUAAGUAGUCAGUAGAGAAGGAGCAGUCUAGCUCCAGUGUGGCUGACUGAUGAGAUCAGAUUCACAAGUGGAUGGUGGGCUUUGUAAAGAGUGGACUGUUUAACAAAGCCUGGCACCUAGGAAGGAAUGUUAAAGAGUGCUGGUGGUAGGGAAGAGGCAGGUGAAUGACCGUAUGAAAAACUGUUUCGAAUGGAAAUUUUAUCUUUUUCUUAUUCUAUUUUAUUUGUAGUAGGAAAAGAUUUCUUUCAAAGCAUCUGGGCAGCAUUGGGAAUUUCAUACCCAUUAUUAGAACGAUUUGUGUGUGUGUGUGUGCGCGUGUGUGUGUGUGUGUGUGUGUGUGUGUGGUGACUAUGUUAUCAUUAGGGGUAUAAUUUUAUUUUGCGAAGAGAGAAGUGUUUCCUGUUUUAUCACAGCUUUCCCCGAGGAGGGCUGGUGUAUUAAUUUGCUGUAUUGCCUCCUGGCUGUUCCCAGGCUGUUUUUCCUCUUCAUCAUGGAAUUUUUAAUGGCCCUACUGCCUCUUGGGAAGCAUGUGAGGAAGAGUUCCUUGGGGAGUGCUUCCCUUUUUUCACGUGCCUAUAAUUACUCUCCUGUAAGAGCACAAAGAGUUUGAUAAUCAUGCCUGAACGGUGAAGAUUUCCUCCUUUCGGGUUACUGAGCUGAGGCUGCCUGCUGCCUGGACAUGGCCAGUUCCACUCCCCCAAACCCUCAGCUGUGUGAGAGGGAGUGCUCCUCAACAACCUCCUUCCUCACUGCUGGAGCCUUAACACAGCUCUGGUUCUCUGAGUGAGGCCUGGGGACCGCUGGGGGGCGAUGAGUGACCUCAAGGUACUCUCUUGUUUAGAAUUUCAUUGCUAUAAACAAAGAAAUAACAGGACCUUGAUUUUAAGAGAACGUUUGAUUGAUGUGUCAUUUUAAUACAGCCCACAUGGCAAGUGCAAUGAGAGCGAGUCUUUGUACCACCUAAUCGAUUUGUGGGGCUAAGCGGUUUUCAGAAGUGCCACUCUAGAAAUAAGUAAGUUUGGUGGUUUUCAUCCCUGGCUGUACUCUUGAAUCACCUGAGAAGCUUUAAAAAAUAUAUCCAUGCUGGGCCACCAGGUCCCAAGAUUCUGAUUUAAUCGGCCUGGGAUGAGGCCCAGGCAUUAGCAGUAUUUUAAAGCUCCCAGGUAUCUCUAAUAUACAGCCAGCGUUGGGAACUAUCACCCUAAAUGCAUGUGGUUUUAUGACUGGUGCUUUGUAAUUUGCUUAGCAGGAAAUCCCAUUUCAUAAUUGGUAUGAGCUCUGUGCUUUGCUGUUCUGAGCACAGUUCUAUAUGGGAGGUAGAACCCUGGGCUUCAUGUAGCUUUGGAGAACUGCUGCAGGUGAGGAAGAGAGUGCUAGGGUCUAGUGCAGUGCCCAGCACAUAGUGAUUAACAAAUGGGCAGAGUUGGUGGGUGGGUGUGUGGGUAGUGGGCAGGGUACCCAGAUGAAAUUCGUAAACCAGCUGUUUUGGUUUGGUUGUUUUGGUUGCUGGUAUUGGGCUGUUGCUAUUAAAGUAGUAAGACUUGGUUCCGGUAUUAAGGAUUGCUGCUGCUCCAACAGCAGAUGGUGUGAUUGGUGUUCUGGUAGAGGCGGCGGUGGUAUUGCUGUCAAGGACACAGUCAUGGAAUGGUAAUAAGGAACUAGUGCUGUAGGCAGCUUUUCCCAAAAUGAGAGAUUUAUUGAUUGUGAAGGAUAGCUUUUUUUUUCUUUUUUAACCAUUAUUGUCUUAGAAAACCAUAACUGGAACUUAUCAAUUGCUACAUCUCUUUGUGUGAUACACAAGUCACCAGUUGUAGUUUUUGAGUAUCUUGCGGCAGUUUUGAGUUUUCUCCAACUUUCCUGACGUUUCCUCUAUUUUGGGUGGUGACUUGGUAAUGUAUCACCAUUUCCAUUUAUUCCUUCUUAAUCUCAUAUUAGUGUGAGGCAGACUCAGGUAAGAAUCUUGGCUUUACCUGGGUGAAAGACUUAACCUCCCCAUACCUCAAUUUCCUCACCUUGAAAAUGAAAAUAUUAAUAUUUUGGGGGCUAGUGGGGCUCAAAAUGAAAUAAUAUAUUUGAAUAUUUAGCAUACUGGUAGCUAAAAUUAUUAUUUUUGUUAUAUAGUUACCACCCUACACUGUUCUUAGGAUAAUUGCAGUUUUACAAACCUUGAGUUGGCUUCCAGAGUUGUUUGCUAAUGAGAAGUAGUACAGCUUCCUGAGGUGCUUAAAAUGACCUCAGGUGGACUAUAAGAGGAGUCAUUUGGACAGUGCUGGGUGAAAAAGAGAGACCUUCCUGCCCGAUAGAGAGUUGAAAUGUGAUAGGCUGCACUCAUUGUAAUUCAUUUUAUCUGUUCACAAACGUUAUGAUCUGCAUAUCAGAGUUGUGUGCCCAGCUGGCUGUGCCACUUGACAAGGAGUUUCAAAGAGCAAAAAGAAGACUCAACUCAUACUGUUUAUUUUGACCUUUGGAGCCAUAGUAAACAGCCUCAGGUUUUACCUCAGGGCUUGGGGGAAAGAACCUUUUAUUAGUCCUCUAUCUGUUGGGAUGCUGUGAUGCACAGCAGCUCUUGCUCACCUCUUUAGUGCCUUGGUUUUGGUCAUGUGUUAGAAAAUGUUUCUGCUCUAAUGUUGUCCAUAAGGCUGCCCAAUCCUACUGGAAUUCCCAUUAUAUAGUACACAGUUCUGGAAUCUUUUGUCCGCUGUUGGACAGUCUUGUUUAUAGCAGCUCUCAGCCAGCUGGCAUCUUACUGCCAGAGUGGAAUGAUGAAAGCAUUUUCUCUUUCUCUGUUUUGCUAUUGUAAUAUACCCAUCCUUCCAACUGAUGUGAAACUAUUCUGUUCCUGUGGGUGACAUGAAACAGCUUCAUAAUAUGCUAACCUUGGCCCAGCCAAGGGAAGUAGAUUACGGAGAAUUUUCAGGUGCUAGUGAGCAGUUUGUCGUAGACUGCUGAGGGUUAGUUAGGUUUGCGUGAAAACACUAGUGGGAUUGCUAGGAUCUCUUCCUAUUAGAUAAAGCUCCUUUGUGUCCUCUAAUUGUGAGGUCGUUUUCUCUCUCUGGCUGCUUCUAGUGUCAGAAGGCCUGGAUCCUCUCAUACGUGCAAGUCUGUGAAAAUACAUUUCCCCUACUGGGUGUUUAAUAAAUGUCAGUUAAGCCUGAAGGUAAAAAUCAUAUGCGAGGAAGGGAUUUCUACAUCCUUAGAUUUAAUCCUCUUUUACCACAAUUUACCUUCACACUUCCCUUGUUCCUUGAUUACAGCUCAGUGUCUUGUAUCUGUUAGUUCUUUAUGCAUCGGCCUCCCUCACUAUGUUGUGAGCUCCUGGUGGACGGGCCCUUGGCUCAGUCAUCUUGUAUAUAACCUCUCCACAUCCAGCAUAGUGUAGGCUUCCAUAAAUUUUUGUUAAAAAUAAUUGAGGUGGGGCUUCCCUGGUGGCGCAGUGGUUGGGAGUCCGCCUGCCGAUGCAGGGGACACGGGUUCGUGCCCCGGUCCGGGAGGAUCCCACAUGCCGCAGAGCGGCUGGGCCCGUGAGCCAUGGCCGCUGAGCCUGUGCGUCCGGAGCCUGUACUCCACAAUGGGAGAGGCCACA